GAUGAACGCUGGCGGUAUGCUUGACACAUGCAAGUCGAACGGUCUUUUCGGAGAUAGUGGCGGACGGGUGAGUAACGCGUGAGAAUCUAGCUUCAGGUCGGGGACAACAGUUGGAAACGACUGCUAAUACCGGAUAUGCCGAAAGGUGAAAGGCUUGCUGCCUGAAGAUGAGCUCGCGUCUGGUUAGCUAGUUGGUGGGGUAAGGCUUACCAAGGCGACGAUCAGUAGCUGGUCUGAGAGGAUGAUCAGCCACACUGGGACUGAGACACGGCCCAGACUCCUACGGGAGGCAGCAGUGGGAAUUUUCCGCAAUGGGCGAAAGCCUGACGGAGCAAUACCGCGUGAGGGAGGAAAGCUAC
rnacentral:rRNA from 1 species